GACGAACGCUGGCGGCGUGCUUAACACAUGCAAGUCGAACGGUAAGGCCCUUCGGGGUACACGAGUGGCUAACGGGUGAGUAACACGUGGGUGAUCUGCCCUGCACUUCGGGAUAAGCCUGGGAAACUGGGUCUAAUACCGGAUAGGACUCCUGGCUUCAUGGUUGGGGGUGGAAAGCUUUUGCGGUGUGGGAUGGGCCCGCGGCCUAUCAGGUUGUUGGUGGGGUAAUGGCCUACCAAGGCGACGACGGGUAGCCGGCCUGAGAGGGUGACCGGUCACACUGGGACUGAGAGACGGCCCAGACGCCUACGGGGGGCAGCAGUGGGGAAUAUUGCACGAUGGGCGCAAGCCUGCUGCAGCGACGCCGCGUGAGGGAUGACGGCCUUCGGGUUGUAAACCUCUUUCAGCUAUGACGAAGCGCAAGUGACGGUAGUAGCAGAAGAAGGACCGGCCAACUACGUGCCAGCCGCCGCAGUAA
rnacentral:rRNA from 1 species